UGCAGUCGAGCGGUAACAGAUCUAGCUUGCUAGAUGCUGACGAGCGGCGGACGGGUGAGUAACGCGUAGAAAACUGCCCAGUAGUGGGGGAUAGCCCAGAGAAAUUUGGAUUAAUACCGCAUACGCCCUACGGGGGAAAGGGGGCUUCGGCUCUCGCUAUUGGAUGUGUCUGCGUGGGAUUAGCUAGUUGGUGAGGUAAGGGCUCACCAAGGCGACGAUCUCUAGCUGUUCUGAGAGGAAGAUCAGCCACACUGGGACUGAGACACGGCCCAGACUCCUACGGGAGGCAGCAGUGGGGAAUAUUGCACAAUGGGGGAAACCCUGAUGCAGCCAUGCCGCGUGUGUGAAGAAGGCCUUCGGGUUGUAAAGCACUUUCAGUUGUGAGGAAAAGUUAGUAGUUAAUACCUGCUAGCCGUGACGUUAACAACAGAAGAAGCACCGGCUAACUCCGUGCCAGCAGCCGCGGUAAUACGGAGGGUGCGAGCGUUAAUCGGAAUUACUGGGCGUAAAGCGCACGCAGGCGGUUUGUUAAGCUAGAUGUGAAAGCCCCGGGCUCAACCUGGGACGGUCAUUUAGAACUGGCAGACUAGAGUCUUGGAGAGGGGAGUGGAAUUCCAGGUGUAGCGGUG
rnacentral:rRNA from 1 species